rnacentral:tRNA from 1 species
GGGAAUAUAGCUUAGUGGUAGAGCACUUGUCUAGUAUGUGCAAGGUCCUGGGUUCAAUCCCCAGUACCA